CUCUCUCUCUCUCUCUCUCUAAAUCUCAAGGUGGGAUUUUCAAAGGAGCCUAUGGGAAUUAGGGGCCCAAAAUCCCAUUUAAAAAAAAAACCAAUGGAAUUCCAUCCCCUAAAUCCUUUAGGCUACUUUGAAAAUAUAAUAAGCCUUAAGAAUUAGAGUCCAAUAAUAUGGCUUAAAUUCACCUAUUAUCAUAACUCAUCAAAAUAAAUAUAUAUUUGUAGGGCCAAUUCCUAAAUCACCAUUUUGUUUUACCAGGGUUGUUGUUUGGCCUCCAUGUUGGUACCCCUUCUUGUUUGUGAAGAUGGUGCCCUUUUUCAAACUAAGGUGGGAAUUAAUCAUGUAACAGGUGUAAUCUGCCCAGAAACAGGAAGUUAUAUAGGGACUAAGCGCACAGCACUCCAGACUGUCUGCCCCCAUGGCGGCCCAGUACCUAGUAAGUGAACCAAGCUGAGACGUCAAGUCAAGAUCAGAAGCAGCGUUCCCUCUAAGCUGUGUGCCUGCAUGGCCGCACAAUAGUGUUUAUCUUGGUAGAUUCAGUCAAAUAAACUUUUGUCAGAAUGUCAGGGUUUCAUUAUGUUUUUGAUAGGAAUAAAUAAAAAAUAAUUUGAAUUUUGCUCCAUGUACACUGGACUGGUGCUGACACCUCUCUUCGUGCUGAGAAACCAGGACAGAGGAGGACACGUAGUCAUGUCAGUUGCAAUGUGGCGUGCAGUUGCUACUCUCUUGAUUUUUACCCAGUUUUCGACAUGUUUAAAAGAAGGCAAACAACAUCACCCAUCAAAGGGGCAAAUCCUAAGAAGAAAUGCUGCCUCAUGUUCAAAGGAGAGUGGCUGGAUGAAAUAGUGGAAACAGAAUCUCAACAAUCUAGAGGCAAGAUUCGUGUACAAGUGAAGGAAAUAUUCCAAUUGGGCUGAUGUGGGCUUGAUCUGCAAAAUCUGUGCUAGAGCUAGAAUAUCCAGUGAUUUCUCUACAGGCAAGAAAUGUGAAGAUGGAUGGAAGUUGGACUACAUGAAGAGGCAUUUAUUAAGCAAAGGUCAUGAAUCUGCUGCACAUAUUCUUAGAAGCAUAAAUUCUCACCCACUGGGAUUUGAUUUGUGAAGUAUUCUAUUAGAAACCACUAGUAACAGACAGAAGAGACUGAUGUUCAAAGCCAGAAGAAAUAAAAUUUCUCAUAGACAAUGUUCUGCUUGCAGUACAAAUGAACAGCUCCAUGAACUCUGUGCAAAAUAUAAAUGAUCACAUGGCAAAGUAUCUGCAUGAACCAACAAGAUGGCGUAGCAAAAACUACUCUUCAGAGUUUUUGGAAUCGAUCAAUAGUGUUGUCCUCACAAAAAUCAUGUCAGAGAUUCGCCUGUCUUCCUAUCAUACACUUACUAUUGAACAAAGCACAGAUAUUUCUGUUAAGUUCAGAGAUGCAGCAUCUCCAGUGUUUGGUGGAUUUCUACAUUCUCAAUAAGCUGGACAUGAUGAAAAAGGUGAUGUUCAUGUCUGAUGGUGCUUCUGUCAUGCUAGGAAAAAACAAUGGUGUUGCCACACAACUCAAGGAGUGCAUUCCACAUUUAAUAGAACAACACUGUGUGGCCCAUUGAGAAAAUCUGGGGUUAGUCGAUGUGUGGAACAAAGUACCAAUGAUGAAGAAAACCGAGACACAUCUAUACAGUCUUCUGCAGAUCCGCAGUCCAAAGAGGACAAUUUGAGGAAAUGGCAAAUGUCACAGAAAAUGAGACUAUCAUUUAAACCUCUAAAUGAAGUGAGGUGGCUAUCUAGACAUUUCGCGGAAAGUGCUUUGAUGCACAAUUAAGAGACCCUUCUUAGAUACUUUGAACGUGAAAUCUCAUAUAAUGACCCGAUAGCAAAAGUACCGCCUAAAGAAGCUUUUUGACACUAAUUACCGUAUCACUCUACCUGCAUUAAAUGAUGUUUUAUAUGAAUUAGCAGAACUGACCAAAUGCUUUCAGAAGAGAUCUUUAACAGUUGAAGCUGUACAGUUAGCAAAGGCCCAGAUCCACAAGAUGAGAGGAUGCUAUCUAGGAGAAACAAACAGUCUCUUGGAGCAACAGUGUGAAAAAUCUAAUUGCAUCAAGCACAAGAGAUGAACAAUUCAGCAGUUAAUCUAUUCUAAGUUUCAUCUCUCUACUGUGUGAUCAUCUGAAUAAAAGGUUUCUAGAAAAGGAACUAAAUGAAUAGGCAGCUUUUGAUUUUGCCUCAUUUUCAUCACAGCAAAUCAGUUAUGAAUUUGGCAUUGAAAACAUUAGCAAGCUAGUUGACCAAUACAGAAAAAUUUUGGACCUUAGUCAAGUGAAGUCAUCUGCCCAAAACACCAUGGAAAAAAAGGAGUCCAUUGUGAACGAGUACAAUGUUUACAAAUACAUAACUGCAGAGAAACAUGAAGCAAAGUUGAUGAUAAAUUUCCAGAAAAUGGUGACUUUCAGUCAACAAAAUGCAGAAUAAUACAGUGUAGUUUCACAACUGGUGGAUAUAUGUGCAACCUUUCAAGUUUCCAGUGCUGACCAUGAGCGUGGCUUUAGCCAUAUGAAUAAUAUCAGAACUAAAUCAUGAAACAGCUUGAAAUAAAAUCACCUGGAUAUGCCAAUGAGGAUCAAAUUUCAUACUUCAAGUGGUGAAGAAGUAAACCUUGACACUUUAUAUAAACACUGGAAGAGAAAAUGUUCAUAGCCAGCAGCAAGUGUCUGCCCCAUCAUCUAAUUUGAUAACUACUGGUCUGGGGUCUCACUCCAGUGACAAGUGAUCUCCUAAAUCAAGAAAAUAAAAUAAUUUCGUUCAGGUGUCAC